GAGUUGUAGCCCAAUCUGUUUGGGUGGAGGCUGAAUUGUAGCCCUAAACCUCAACUUAAGGACAGAAGUGUCAGCUUGCAAAAUUGGAGUAUAUAAGGUUGGAGAGGUGACGUUCAGUUAGAAGAAGUACGACUUCUCGCUCCUCUUUGCGAAGCACUCCUCUGCUGCGUGAACAGUACUCUCCUCACUCUCUUCCGCCGACCCGAGCCACCGUCAAAAGCAUUAGCACCACUACCGUAAUCACUCUACGCUAUUAUCCGACGUCGUGCGAGCUAUAGUACGUUGACUAAGGGUUGAAGGAAAAGCUGAGUUUUCUCUCGUCUCUUUUGUUCAAAGCUUGGUCAGGGAAAUGGGGGUUUUUAUUGAAAUCCUUUUAAUUGAGGUUCAAAUUGGAGGAGUGAAAGGAGACAUGGGAAGCUUCUGGGUUUAAGUUGGAACCGAGGCAAAGUUACCCGAUGAAUGGAAGAUUUGUGAUUUCAGAUAACGUGAAAUAGUACACUUUUGGAAUCCAAGUGGGGCGAUUUCAGAUAACAUGAACUGAUGAACAUAGGGACGAGUGGGGGCUACUUCCCCCAGUCAGCUUUUGACAUUUGGCAACUGAGAUCCUUUUUUAAUAUUUUAUGUCAGCUAUGUUUAUAUAAUAUAUAAUAGAUAAUUGAUUGUUGAUAUGUAUGGACGUAUGCUGCUGUUCUGUUUCACCAAACCAGUAUCAUAUAUAAUUAAAUAUCUGUAAAGGCUGAAGCCUUUCCCAGAAACCCAUACGACCCCAUUUCCCAUUCUUUUUGUUCCACUGAGAAUCUCCAUUCCCCUAACAACAAACUCAAUACUUACAGACUUUCUUCGAUUGAGUCCGACUUCGACUCUUUGAGUCUUCAUGCAAUCUCUGCCCUUAUGCAACUCAGUCUUGGAUUGAUGGUCUUGAAGCUGUGAAAGAUUAAAGAUAGAGAGAUUCUUUAAACGAGCAUCAGACGAGUUAUCAUCACCCCUCAUGGAGAGUGAAAGAUCAAAACAGAUUCGUGUAGAAAUUGAUUUGGCUAAUCUUCCUCCUGCAAGCUCUUUUUUGUUAAACCUUUUGUACUAUUGAACAUUAUUUUUCCAAGUUGAAGGGCUGAGCAUCAUAGUCUAUUAAAUUCUGUUUCUUUGAUUGCACUCCUCUGCUUCCCAUUUGGUGCAAAUAUGUUAAUAAAUGAGUCUAUUCCACCUUGCCCCUAAAGAUAUAUAUUCCUGCGUCCGCCAUUGUAUGUGAUGCGUGAUGAAAAUAUUGUUAAUUGAAAUUUACAAUUGUUUUUAAGUUAAGGUGCUUAUAAUUUUGUUGAUAGCUGUGUGUGAGAGCGGAAAGGCGGUCGAUGACUUCUUUGGGAUUAGCCAGUACCCCUAAAUAUUUUGUGGGUAAGCUACAUCGGUGGGCCUGAUGCUUUUGAUCGCAAUGACAAUCCGGUUCCGUGUGUGUAAAUUGUAUGUUAAGUUUGACGCUCUAUAACUGGUAAGGUCGGUUAUUGGUUCUACGGAACUAGGCCAUCAGGUAAACUGCGCGCGCGUAGUUUUUGAAUCAUGCAUAUGAUUUUAAGAAGGAAAAUAUUUUAAGUUUGUCGUUCUUAUAAAUAUUCGUUUUCGAAUAAGGUUUUAGUUGGUUUUCGAACCUAGCCGGGGUAUGUCAUACAGAGCCGUGAGGAUGAAAGCUCACCCUUACAACAGUGUGUAUGUGUGUGCAGGUACUGUGCACUAGUGACGAGAUUGGAGGACGAAGCUGAGUGUGUGGAGACUUUUCCGACAAUUUAUCAUUUAAUGGAAGAUAUGCAAUAGACGUAAGGACCAUAAAAUCAAGGCUUGAGUCACCUUGGAGUAAAAUCACACACUCAAUAAUGUCUUUGUAAUUUGAACUGUUGAAUCCAUAAAUCAAAAGUUCGAAACAUACUAGAAGAAUUUUUUGGCCGAGUUUACCAUACCUCAGGCCCUUUAUGUUACACAACUGUAAUACUUUGUUAUGUUUCACCACUGUUAUGUGAGAAAAAAAAAAUUUCA